ACCAGCCUCAACCUUUUGGCAAAAGUGGACAAGAAACGUGCCGUAGCACUUAGGAAAGAUCCCGCAACCCCCAGGAGAAUUGGGACACCACUUGCUUGACGUGAACGUGCAAAACGGAGGGCCAAGGACUACGACAAGGAGUCAGGUGUCUGUUGCAGGUCCCAAACUCUGGAUCGAUCUCCCUCUCCAUGUGAGACCGGCCCCUUCUUUGGCUAUUUUUAAGACCCUUCUUAAAACCCAUUUUUAUUCACUGGCUUUUAACCCAGCAUGAGAC